rnacentral:rRNA from 1 species
UGCGAGUCUUGUAUCAUACAAGGCGUACGGCUCAGUAACACGUAGUGAAAAAAGGGUGAAUGUGGAUAACCUCGGGAACAAAAAAUCUAUAAAAAAGAAAUAGGCCUGGAAUGGCUUAUGGUCCAAACAGUUUACUGCCAUGGGAUGGGACUGCGGCCUCUUAUUUUGUUGGUGAGGUAAUGGCCCACCAAGGCGAUUACAGGUUCGGGCUCUGAGAGGAGAAGCCCGGAGAUGGGUACUGAGACACGGACCCAGGCCCUAUGGGGCGCAGCAGGCGACAAACCUUAACAAUGUGCGAAAGCACGACUGGUUCAUUCCGAGUGAUUCCUGAUAAAGGAGUCUUUUGCUUGUCCCAAAAGCACAGGUGAAUAAGGGGUGGGAAAGUCUGGUGUUUUUUUUUCGCGGUAAUAUCAGCACCUCGAGUGGUCUUUACGUUUAUUGGGCCUAAAACAUCCGUAGCCGGCUCUGCAGUCUUCGGUUAACUCCACCUGCUAAACAGAUGGACUGAUGGAGAUACUACAUAGCUAGGGACCGGAAAAUGCACACCAUAUUAGGGGAUUAUGGAAAAAAUCCUCUGACCUUGAAGGAACCAACCAGU